AGACCAGCCCAGUGUAUUAGCAUCUCCUUCAACUUUUUUACCAUUCAGCUUCACUAGCUGAGUGUGGAUAAUAGAGGCAAGUCAUGACCCUUAGAAAGGCUCCUCACAGAGACGUUUAUUCUUGUGUGAGAGGUUUAUUUGGUAUCUCUUUUGCCUUAGUUAUGAGGUAGAAGUUUUAAGUUGCUUCUUAUAGAGAGACAUAGUAAAUUUAAUUAUAUGGAAAAAAUAAUGCAGUUUAAAACUAUAAGGCCUGGAGAGAGAAUCUUAAAUGUGCAGUAUUCUUAUUGAACAAUUUGCAGUUAGAAUUUUACAACAGCAAUACUUAAAAAUGGUUAGCUUACCCAUUAUUAGGUUUAUUUUCAUAUGUUGCUUUAAAUUGUCACACAUUGUUUUUAUAAUUCUGGAAAACUUAAAUUUCCAUGUCUUAGUUGCCAUAGUAACUGACUAGCGGCUUAGAGGACAGAACAGGGAGGAAAGUGUUUAUCUUUGGGAUUGACAUUUUUAUAUUUUGAUUGAUAUUUCAAAGUUUACUGGAUAAUAUUUGAAAACUAAUGCUAGAGAUAGAAAUGUUUUCUUGGCAUUCAAGAAUUCCACAAAGAAAGUAGGCCUUAAUAAACUGUUUUCUUAACAUAUAUUUACAUGGAUUUUUUUAGUCCACUAAGCUUACAGUGUAGGUCUUUGGACAGCUUCUAGCUGCUGAGUUGUACUUUCAGUUCAGAUGCUAUUUUCUGUCUUGUUGGAUAUUAUGUUUCCUAAGUAGCUUCUCUAAAACACAUACAUAUAAUAAACAUAUACAUAUGUUUACUUUUAAAGAAAAACUGGUAUAUGCAGUCUUAUAAUUACGGAUUUGAAAAGUGUUCCAUCAGAAGGAUGAGUUUGAGUUUGACAGCUGUGCCCCUAGACCUGUUCCAAGGGGAAGGUUCUAUAGUUGCCCUCUGAGCUCAACUUCUAAGUGGGGGUGUGGGAAAUACACCCAAACUUGACUGCUUAAUACACAAAUUAGCCUUUUUCUAAUCUCUAUAACUACUUUCUUUUGUUUUCGUAGCCAUUCCUUUUUAAAGUAAUAGAAUUACCUAGCUUAUAAUAGGAGUCCAUAUUUGUGUCUUAAUUAUACAUAAUCCUACAGAGUUCAGAAUACAGCUCCCGGGGUUUUGGCCUUUGUUAAGAUGACACAACCUGAGUGUUUUCAUUCCUUUACUUAAUGUUAGUUCUCCUGUAUUUUGCACGACCUUAAGAUGUAAUGGUUAUAUGAAGUUUUCUAAUUUGUAAACUAUUUCUAUAAGAAAGUCUGAUACUUUUACAUUGAACAUGUAUUAAAACCAGAUUUAUGUUGUUCUUCUUAUAGAGAACUUUUUCAGUGAAUUUAAAUUUAUUUUCUACUUAGUAAAACUAGAUAAGCUAAAAUAGAAACAUAUGCUAUUUCAGCUAUAACUACCCUAUUUUCUCUAAAAGAUUAAAAUACAAAUUAGGAAAGUAAUUAUAUCACUCAGUAGUGAAAAUUAGUGUAAAAGAUAAGGCAACUCAGUUAACUAUUUUAUUCCUUGUCAUAUUCAGUUUUGUUAGUGUUUAAUAAUACUAUUGAUAUCUUUCCUUAAUUACCUGGUUUUCUUACUAUGAAUUUUGUGAUAGCAAAAUAAAAUGAUUUUUUCUUCUUUAAAGUACUGACAGUCUAAAGAAUGUUAAGCGUAGUUUAGAAAGACAAUGGAUAGCAAAUGUCAUCUUUUUGUCAUGAUCAUUAAUAAACAUGGCCAACUCAUCAGAGAUAAGGGGUAGAUAUUUUUGCUAGAUAUUAAUUAAAUUUCUUUAAAUUUUUUAUGUGAAAAUUUUAUCUGACAUAUAUUAUCUUUCUUUAAAUAAAUUAUGAUUUAGAAAAUAGGGACUGUUUUAUUUUUUUAUGAGGGAUACUGAGGAUUAAACCCAUGGCCUUGCACGUGUGAGGCGAACGUCCACCCCUGACGUGUGUCUCCAGAGCUCUGCAUGAAGGCAUUUUAAGACUAGCUAAAUGUGCUGAGUGUGAAAAUUUGUAAAUUUUGAUGAAUAUUCUAGGCCACUGUGUGUAUGUGCACUUGUGUGUGUGUGGUCCUGUGUGAUACAUUCUGGGCCAUUUGCAGAAUCCUGGUGUCAGAAUGGUGUGUGAUAUGUUGAUUCAUAAGAGGACCCAUAGUUGAUCUCUUCAGACUCUGCUCAUGCCGUGUCUUCUGAAAGGGUAACUCUGGAUUCUGGUUGCCAAAGGGUGAAAUUGUAAAUUUAGGGCAAUUUUUCAGGCACGUUGAUUUCAGAAUAAAACCUAAAAAAUAGAAAACUCAAAGCAAAACUCAAUGUUUGAGCCUAAUAAUAUAGAGAGAAUUUGAUACUGAGUACCUCAUUUGUUAUUUUUAUUUUUUAAAAAACAACACCAUAAGAAUGUUACCGUUACCAAACUUUGAUAUAUUUAAAUCCAAAAUAGUGUUUAGAUAAUGAAACUUCAGGAAAUCAUGCUUUCUGUGAGGCAUUGAGAAGGACAUUUUGGAUUAUAAAGAUUUCAUAAAUUUCCUUUUAAAUGGCUAACAUACGAUCUUUUUCAGUCAGCACAUUUCAAAUAUCAGUGCUUCUGAAAAUGAACAAUCUGAGUAAGCAAACACCUUCACAACAGUCUCCUUAAAGAGAACACAGGACGGCAGGAGAUGGACUUGGUUUUGAGUUUUAGUAAAUUUAGAAAAUAUCUGCCCAUUAUCAGUGUGUGCUUUCCUUUUUUCUUCUUCUUCCUUUUUUUUUUCUUUUUUUUUUUUUUUUGCGUGUGUGUGUGCAAGCAAUUUGCUUUCCCAAAUGUGCUUACAUUUUUUUUUCUGGCAUAAUUGUUUGGAUUGUAAAGUGUACAUAAUUUAUUUUAAUACUGUAAAAAAUAUGGGUUAUUGCAUCUUCUGUAUUAUGAUUUCAUGUGAAUAAUUUACCAUUUCUUUCUGUUUUCCAUUGAACUAUUCAGUGGUCGAUGAAGAUGGUAAGCCCUGUGUGCUGAUCUAUAUACUAUACCAACAUUUAAUAUUCCAAAGACAUUGUUUGAUUUAAUUCAGAGCACGUGUUAAAGUACAUUCCACAUUUCAACUUGUAUGAUUUUUUUCAAAUAAUUUAAUCCAUAGUCCAACAUAUGCCAAUACCUUUGGAUGUCAUAGAUUAGAUAAUAAUGUGCUUAACUAUCAUCAACCCAUCAAAUUCUUAGAUGUUAUUAGAUAGAGACCAUGUAAUGUUAAAGAGAAUUAAUUUUUUUAAUUAAAAUUUUAAACGUACAUGGUAGAGCAAAAGUUGAUGUUUUACAGAAGUAAAAUUUAGAAAUACACUUUUAAAAAUUUACUUUCUUUAAAAGGUCAUACAAAUUUAAUGUUUACUUUAUUAUAAGAAUUAUUAGGUUUUUCC
rnacentral:lncRNA from 1 species